rnacentral:rRNA from 1 species
GACGAACGCUGGCGGCGUGCUUAACACAUGCAAGUCGAACGGAAAGGCCCUGCUUUUGUGGGGUGCUCGAGUGGCGAACGGGUGAGUAACACGUGAGUAACCUGCCCUUGACUUUGGGAUAACUUCAGGAAACUGGGGCUAAUACCGGAUAGGAGCUCCUGCUGCAUGGUGGGGGUUGGAAAGUUUCGGCGGUUGGGGAUGGACUCGCGGCUUAUCAGCUUGUUGGUGGGGUAGUUGCUUACCAAGGCUUUGACGGGUAGCCGGCCUGAGAGGGUGACCGGCGACAUUGGGACUGCGAUACGGCCCAGACUCCUACGGGAGGCAGCAGUGGGGAAUCUUGCACAAUGGGCGGAAGCCUGAUGCAGCAACGCCGCGUGCGGGAUGACGGCCUUCGGGUUGUAAACCGCUUUCGCCUGUGACGAAGCGUGAGUGACGGUAAUGGGUAAAGAAGCACCGGCUAACUACGUG